rnacentral:lncRNA from 1 species
AACCCUUCCUUUCGGGAAGGAGCGCCCAGGCGCCUCGGAAAAAUGGCAGGGAAAUUUCAUUUAUAUCCUCCUAACCCGGCCCUCGGUUACUCCCCGUCAUCAUUUCCUUCACUGUAGUGCUUGACUUUUUAUUUUUUAUUAAAUAUGUCUAAGCAGAGAUUUUAAUUGUGCAACAGCUCAUUUCCCAAAGGAUUACAGAGGGCUGCUGUGUCACCUUCCUGAAGGAUCCUGCCUUUAACAGCCCUCCCUGAAGGGCUCCUUCAGCCUCCUUGAGAAGCCACAGCCCCCUGAGGAUACUAACUUGAGAGGAUUUAAGAGUACUGUUAAUAAUGCCACUUCUGUGGAAAAGCCAUAACCAUGAAGGAAAACAGAAACAGGAAAUAAUGAGGAAAACUCUGUGUAAAGCAGGAGAAUUCUCCAGGUGCUCUGGAAAAUGUCAUUGUUCAGGACAACACAGAAGUCAAAAUGAAUUCCCCACGACUCGUGCAAAUGUUCGAAGUUAA